rnacentral:lncRNA from 1 species
AGCACUCUACCAAUAGGCUAUAUGGUUAUUGGCAGUAUGCAUUCUUGUUUAAUUGCAUUUCUUUCUUCCUUUGGAACAAAAACAAUAAUAACAAAUCAUUUUCCCUCUACAUAGCAUCCAUGUUAUUAACAAGGCUUCGCUGUUGUGCUUUAAUUAUUUAGGACCAUAUCUUGAGUAAGAUCAUUAAAGGCUAGCGCUUCAAUUUCCAUCCCUGACAGUUUGUCUUUAUGAACAUCAAGUUAGAUGCCUGUUAAAAAGAAUAAUUUGCAAGAAUUGAAGAAAGCUAAGUAUUAAAGUUUAGGUUCAGAAAAGUAAUGUGAAGUGACAUUCAGCUUUUCGUUUCUUUGUUCCUUUUAUAUCUCAUAAAGCUCAUUUUUUGGCCAAAAACUCUCAUUCAUGCUGCUUUAUUAGCAAUUACGAAAAGGAAGUACGAAAUUGGAAUUAGGGGAGAGUAUGAAAAUAUUUGAAAACAUAAGCAAUAGAACAUGAAUGUGCAACUUUGCAUUUUUUUUUUGCUCCUUGACUUUAGUUGGUCUGUUUUUCCGCCUGACACUGCCUUCCAACUUCUACGAAUUUGAGAACCUGAUCAUUUAUUAUUGUUGUUUGAAAUAUGUGUUGACUCAUAAAUGUAAAAGCACAUAGUUAAUGCAUUUUUGACAGUUUAAUAAUCAUGUAGUUAUAAUCCGGAGUUCUCCAUUCCAAAAUCUAUAUAUUGCACUUCAUCAUCCUUGCAGUCUCCGAAAUCCUUGAGAGCAGAUCUCUUUUGCAAUUGUUCUCAUUGCCAUAAGAUGCUCAGAGUGCUCAUAUAAGCAAUUUGCUUGACUGCUGAAACAAACUAGAUUCUCUUGCAGGAAUUGUUUUGUCUGUGAUUUCUGUUUAAAUUACCGAAAUGACUUUAGAAAGUUCACAACAGACUUUGAAUUCAAGCACUGCUAAGGCUUGAAGUUUUCUUUGCAAAAGUAUAUUGUUACUUUUGAUAAUUGUGCUUAAACUCUUGAGCUAUUUACAGAUGAUACACGGGAAUCAAGCAUGCAGUUCACAUGUUUUUACUUUUUUUAGUGAAGCAUAUAAAAGAUCAUUACCGGUAUAUCUUCCAGUUUAUUUGAUUCCUACACUAAUAGUUCAUCGUCAAGGCCUCCUAAAAAGGUAAAGUAGUUAGCUCAAAAUUUGGUGCAAUAUUCUCUUACCAUUUGGCUGCUUCAUUUUUUUCUUAUAUUAUAAAUAUAAUAUUUUUUUUUAAAUAUUCGUUAACUUUAAAUGUUGGUUUACAUUAUUCCCUCCACUUCAGGCCCUCCGUUACCACAGUAUCUAAGUUCCACUUUAUAAUUUGAUAUGAGAUUUGAGCAUGUUAAAUGAUAUGGUUGCUAUAAUUUUUGGUAUGCUUGUUAAAAUUUUGCUUCAUAGCGAUUUGUUUAACAACGAAUUAUACGAAUUAUACGUCUAAUUAGGUUUUAAGCACCUCAUGAUUUGAGCAUCAGAAAGAUCCUCACUAGAGGUUCUUCUUUUAUCCAUUUCUAGUAUAAAACUUCUGCUAGUAUUUUGCUUUCUUUCCGUCCUCCCUGGCUCCAAGUUAUUAUUAUUGUCUAACAUAAUUCUUGACUUUAAUACAGGCCUUACACAAUAUUAGGGAAGAGUCUUCUUGGUACAGCCAGAUCAAGCUUAUUUUUGUCUGCCUAUACCGCAUCUGCUUGGUUAGUGUAUUAUAUUAUUUCAAUCAUGUCAUGCAUUGUUUUCAUAGAUUGUCUAUUUGUUCCCCAGGAUCAGAAGUUCUUAACGUAUUUCAACUUCAAUUUUAGGAUUCUCCCAUUUUAAACUUUUCCUGAUAUAACCGUCAUUUAGAUUUGGUGUUUCCAUUAAAGUAACUAAAACAUAGUUAUUGUUGGUCAAAAUUCUGCAUUCAACCUUUCCUUUCUUUCUUACUUUGAUUGUUCUUACGAAGAUCAGUAUCUCAUACUGGUCAACUAUAUUAUAUUAGUCAGUGAUGAGCAAUCAUUUUUACGUGCAUAAUCACAUGCCAUUUAUGACUAGUAAAUUUUCAUACCUUCAGUAUUGGUUCUAUGCUUCUAUUAUGGCGGUACACUUUGAAUGUCUUCUUUUGUUUCAAUGCUCAGUUUGAUUGUUGGGACAUCAGGAUUGUUGGUUUCGAAGCUGCUAGUAAUUACUUAUCAUAAUUUCCUGCAAAAUACUUGAAAGAAAAACCAAGGGAGAAUCAUUAGUUUUGUCUAAUGUUUGCAGGAUAAAGCAAGCUUUGAAUAGGAUAAUAUGCUUGUCUAACAUCUUCAUUGUCAAAUUAAAAAUGCAAUAAAAUCGUUGUUUUAGAAAGAUGUUUUGCAUUCAAUAGAAAAGAGGGAAUGAUAUUAUCUUGAAUGAGUCACCUAGAUGGGAAAGAAUACAAAACAAGAUUGGUGAGAUGCUUAAAUGGAAAGAGCAAGAAUUUCUUUCUCUCUGUCUUGUCUGUAUUUUACAGAACAUCAACUAUAUCAAGUUUAGAGAUUCAACAUUGGUGUAUGACAUUGAAUGUACUAGAUAGGUUUUAUUUUCUUUAUGAUGCUGUCGACUUUGUAUCAUAUUGCUGAAUCGAAUUUAUUUGUGACUUGAGUUAUUACGAUGUGCUUCGUCUAAAAUAGACGGACCUUUGUCAUUGGGCUAACACCAGUAACUUCCAAACAGGAUGUGGACUUGCAUGGUGAAUAGAUUUUGGGGAAAAUGUGACAUACCAAUUGUAGCAAUGGGAACGGUAAAUAACUCUUACCAUUUUAUCAGUGUUCUCUGAUUGUUCCUUACUUAGCAUGUCUCAUUGGGCAGUUCCCAACGGGUCUGGCAUUGGCAAUUGAGAAGAAAAGUAGGCGGAUCGAGAUAUCACUCUACUGCGUUGCACGAGCCAUAGAGAGCUUGUUUACAUGCAUGGCAGAUGUUGGGUAUUUGCCGAAGUCAAUGAAUCUGAAGAGGGCUGAUGUGGUAAUAUUUAGCUUGUCAACAGCGAUAAUAAUGCACUGCUACGCACAGGAGAGGGAAGUGUUCCGUUCCAAGUACUUAAGUGUUCUUGAUUGGGUCUUUGGUGUGCCCCCUCCCCCAUGUGAAACUCCUCCCUGCAAAAACAGAUGAGCAGUUCGCAGGGCUUUGGACUCAG